UACGGAGGGGGCUAGCGUUGUUCGGAAUUACUGGGCGUAAAGCGCACGUAGGCGGCUUUGUAAGUUAGAGGUGAAAGCCCGGGGCUCAACUCCGGAAUUGCCUUUAAGACUGCAUCGCUAGAAUUGUGGAGAGGUAAGUGGAAUUCCGAGUGUAGAGGUGAAAUUCGUAGAUAUGUGGAGGAACACCGAUGGCGAAGGCAGCCCCCUGGGUCAAGACUGACGCUCAUGCACGAAAGCGUGGGGAGCAAACAGG
rnacentral:rRNA from 1 species